AACUGCGAGACAAGAAGAGGCUUGCUCUUCAAGCCAACGCUGCCAAAUGUGGCAAAAUAUCAGAAAUGUUUGCCACGGCAGGGCCAUCAUCAGCUCCCAUGGAUGACAGUGAUGCUGGUGGCGAUACGAUACAACGACCUACGGCUACUGAAGAUGUCGAAGUCCCUUUUGACUGGGUACACACCCAGUCGGAUGAACUCUACCCAUUACUGUGAUGGACGUGGAGUAUACUUUUUUUGUUAAUAAAUAACACCUUUUGGAAGUGUAUAAUGCGUCCACUCUCACUGAUUGCUUUUAACUCAUUGCAUGGCUUAAGGUAUGUGGAAAAUAGUUGCACAGUUGGAGUCAGGCUUUUAGCUAGGAUUUUUUGUACAGCACUUGAUCGUUUUUAGGUAAUAUUACAAUUACACUGAUUUAUUUAUAUGUUUAGUAAUUUAAUACAUAAUAACAGUGAGUGUAACUGAAACUAGGUAACAAGGUACAA